GAGAAGGAGCAGAAUCUGAAGGAGAACAGAGGAGAACUCAGCACACACACUUAGCAAUUUCAUGAAUGAUGAUGACAAAGCCUACAAGUUUUUUAUUUGAAUCUAACCUAUCAAAUAGCUGAAGUAGCUGAACAGGAUUGCAUCAUCAAAAUAGGUCAGUCUGCAUGUUCUAGUGUCUUCCUUCCACACAGCCCUCUGCAUGCUAAUCAAGGCAGUGACCUGGACACGAUGGUGGAGUGGGUGCAGUUAAAUGGACCGUGGCUGAAGCAGUGGACUCAGUCACUCAGAGCUCUCCUUUAGGUGGCAGCAUGGGAGCCUCAGCCACUUGGACACACUGGGAAAUGACAGAGUCACAGCUCGACUUGCCAAAUCAGCCAGGCUGCAUGAAAAGCUGUGAUGUUAUUUCACAGAGAGCAUAGAAUAAUAUCGUUUGCAGUAUGCACCUACGUAGUACUGAUAUAUUUACCGACGGGAAACAACCUUUUCUGUCUGCUCGGAGCAGCGUGCCCCACCCCUACUUGAAACCUUUACAAAUCCACUCAAAACUAAUUUGAGAUGUCAAAGCAAAUUAAUUUUAGCUGUCGGGUAUCGAGAGUUUUGACACAUAGGAAGCAGCAAGUGAUCACUCAAAGCGUAGCUGGACUCACCAGGGAUGGUUGCAACUGCUGAAAAUGUUUGGGGUUUUUUUUAUAAUAAUUUUAACUAAUACCCAAAAUAUAUUUGCACUUGAUGUCGUUCACACGUGGUUUCUGGGUCACAAACUCCUUUACAGAAAGCUGAAUAUCUGAUCUAAAGAAGCAAUGGCAUGCAUUUAGUUUAGUUUAUGUGUUGCUUGUCAGAUUUCUGAUCCAUCUGGCAUGUGACAUAGAUACACGCAUGUUUUAGUUCUUUAGUGCAGGUAAUUACACCCCAGUGGCUACCAAGAAUCUAAGAAUAUGUCUCCAGGAGAUUUUAUUUUUCGACCUCUGAUAUCUUGCUCAUCACUAAAAAGCCAAAGGAUGGCUUUUAAAUGUAAAAUCUCAUGGUGGAAAUUUAGACUUGUAGCACAGAGGUGUAACUAAUGAUGUAAAUGGCGGCCGAUGAUCAGAAACUCUGCUUACACAACACUGACACCGCGCAUGGUGUCUCGCUGUCAUGUACCGACGUAUUGAAAUGGAGCUGUCCCUAAUGUUGUUAGUUACACCUGCACUUUUCCCGCUAAGAAGCAUAGCAGGAAUCCGAUGGAGAGAUAAUAUAAUAACGGCAUCGUAUCGAGGAAAAAAAUUAUCACUAAUUCUGCUGAUGAAAAUGGCUCGCUGUGGCAGCAUGCUGCAGGUCAGAUCCCAUCUUUGUUCUCCAGCAGCCCAGUCAUCGAUCUGGCUGAAGAGCCCGACUCUGACAAGUGCCCAGGUGGUGGAAACGAUGGAAGGGGCAGCAGAGAUUGAGGAAGUGGCUGAUAGGAUGACGGCCUCAUCUUGUUCUGCGGUGAUGCCUGUCCGCUAGGUUACCAUGACUACCUGACACUGAAGGCACCUCUUCAUCCAUCUGUGCUGCAGCAGUCGCUUCCACCUUGCCCGGCUCUAACCUAUCCACCCACCAUUCCUUCCAUCAGUUCUUCCCCCUGCAAUACAAGCGGCAUUCGCCCAUAGAAAGGAAGAUAAGGUCGAGGCUGCUGGCUUUUUGAAAGCACCGGCACCGCAAGAGCUGAACUCAGUCGACAAAAGCGAGGGAGCGACAAGCAACGGGGGCUAUAAAAAAUUCAUGGCCAAUAGAAGAAGGCCCUGGGAGUCCUGCAGUAUGUGAACUGCACUCUGGAAACUUUUUCUCUAUUUUGCAAUCUUUUUUUUCUAUUAAUGUUCUCGACUGGAUUCCAGGCUUUCCAAACUUUACUACAUACAUCUUUGUUGUCGAAAUAUACUGAGAGAAAAAAUCAAAUAAGUCAGACAAACUGUGACAGUGAAUUUCAGUUUAAAAUGCUUUUGCAGCCCUGGGCUGCAGGACUCGUUUAGAUACGGUACUGUGCUGUGCAUCGGAAAUUAAACUAUCAGGUUAUUUUCACUCUUCUCUGUAGUGCUUUGUUUUCAACCAAACACGAGUUUGUGUGUUUAAGCCAACGGAUGUUUUUCCUCAGUAAACAUUCAAACAUGUCAAAACUGGGAAAUCUCAGGUUAAGAAUGACUCCAUUUCACAAAGAGGCAGUGAG